AAGCUCCCAUUCUGCUUGCUCUGGUGGAUAUAUUGCACAUUACUAAGUUGCAUGUUGUCACGGCCUCAGUGCAAUUUAGUGUGUGCGAUAUUUUCACAUGAGUGCAUGCACACGGGUAUGGC
rnacentral:pre_miRNA from 14 species